rnacentral:rRNA from 1 species
GAUGAACGCUGGCGGCGUGCCUAAUACAUGCAAGUCGAGCGAACAGAUAAGGAGCUUGCUCCUUUGACGUUAGCGGCGGACGGGUGAGUAACACGUGGGUAACCUACCUAUAAGACUGGGAUAACUUCGGGAAACCGGAGCUAAUACCGGAUAACAUUUGGAACCGCAUGGUUCUAAAGUGAAAGAUGGUUUUGCUAUCACUUAUAGAUGGACCCGCGCCGUAUUAGCUAGUUGGUAAGGUAACGGCUUACCAAGGCGACGAUACGUAGCCGACCUGAGAGGGGGAGCGCCACCCUGGGACAGGAGCCACGCUCCAGCCCCAGCGGGGGGGCAGCAGUGGGAAAUCUCCCGAAAGGGGGAAACGCGUGACGGAGCACCGCCGGGUGAGUGAGGAGGGUUUUGGCCUCGAAAAACUUUUUUAUGGGGAAAGAAAAAUGUUGAAAGUACCUGUGCACGUCUGGACGGUAACUAAUAAGAAAGCCAGGCAUAACACGGUC